CCGCGCCGCCUGGCCCGGAUGGGUGGGCGGCGCUCGGCUUCCUGGGCCGCGCGCCCCGCUGCCUCCUCCCGCCGACUCCGCCCCCGGCCCCCAGGUCACUCCUCUCUCCAAGUUGCCGUCCCGCUCUCCCCGGGCUUCCGGGCCCCCCACGACCCUCGCUCGGCCGCCCCGCGAGUGUCCCGCCGGCCGGCCGCCCGCGGUCCCCAGGUCGUGCGCCCGGCUCCUCCCCGCCCGCCUGGCCCCGCCCGUGGCGGGAAGCAGCUCUGCCCAGCACCUACUGCCUGUGGUGGACAGACGGGCACUCCCCAAACGGAGCACCUUGGCUUCAGACAUCUCCACAUUCCUAGUGCCCAGAACAGGGCCUCACUGGAAACUGGCGGCCCCUCCAGUCCCUGAAGGAGGGUCUGGCAGGCCCCAUGGGAGGCUGGAGGAACUGAGAUGGAACCCAGCAGCUGCUCCCAGCUGGGAGCCCACCUGAGUGGAAUCCUGGCCCCAGGAUCAAAGGCUCAGGUCUGGGUGAGGGGAUCCCUCCCCACCUCCUUUCCCCCACAGGAAGGCUGCUGGCCAGGGAUCCUGGGGAGGGUGUGGGGAAGCCCUGGUGAGCAGAGUGCAUAUUGUGGGCCUGGGUUUGGAUGUCGGGGUUCUGGUCCUUCCCUUCCACCUUUCCCACUAGCCAGAUCCUAGAACUUC